rnacentral:rRNA from 1 species
AAUAGAUACCCAGGUAGUCCACGCCCUAAACGAUGUCGACUAGGUGUUGGGGAAGGAGACUUCCUUAGUACCGCAGCUAACGCGUGAAGUCGACCGCCUGGGGAGUACGGUCGCAAGAUUAAAACUCAAAGGAAUUGACGGGGACCCGCACAAGCGGUGGAUGAUGUGGAUUAAUUCGAUGCAACGCGAAAAACCUUACCUACCCUUGACAUGUACGGAAGUCCGCUGAGAGGUGGAUGUGCCCGAAAGGGAGCCGUAACACAGGUGCUGCAUGGCUGUCGUCAGCUCGUGUCGUGAGAUGUUGGGUUAAGUCCCGCAACGAGCGCAACCCUUGCCAUUAGUUGCCACAUUCAGUUGGGCACUCUAAUGGGACUGCCGGUGACAAACCGGAGGAAGUGGGGAUGACGUCAAGUCCUCAUGGCCCUUAUGGGUAGGGCCUCACACGUCAUACAAUGGCGCGUACAGAGGGUUGCCAAACCCGGCGAGGGGGGGAGCCCGAAUCCCAGAAAGCGCGUCGUAGUCCGGAUUGGAGUCUGCAACUCGACU